GCUAAAAAUCAACGCUAUCGAUAGUAUUCAGAUCAUGUAAUAUACUCCUUUAUGUUUAUCGAUUAUGAGUGUAACUAUUUCAACUGUACCUUGAAAUAAUGGUACAAAUAAUGAUACGAAUGGUAAAAAUAAGGUACGAGUAAAGUUGUAAUUAAUCGAUAAAAAUAAUUAACGAAUUAUGUGUAACGAAAAAAGUGUUUAAUAAGCUAAGUAGGCGUGAAAUAUUCUGUCAGAACGGUGUCAAUUACCAACCAACGAAAGCUAAAAUAAGCCAUUAUUAAGAGGCCAUGAUGACCGAUGACACCUCGUUAAUUUUCGAGACUGUUGCAAUAUCAACGUAUGGCUUUUAUCUUCAAACGUGAUUAAAAAUAUAUUUACCGAUCAUUUCCUCGAUAUUGAUGUGUUAUUUUUCCGUAGGUUCUCUAUUUACGUUUAAUUGCUUUUUACGAUGACAAUUCGUUAAACGACCGAAUAUCAUUACAACGAAGAUGAUAUUUUUGGCCAACUAUAGCAACCGGAAAUGAACACGCACUGUGAAAUAUAAUGCUCGACCACCAUUAGUUUCAAAUGAAAGGUAUAAAAAGUAUCUAAAAUUUUUGGUACUUGGCUCGUAUCUGUACAAUGAGAAAAUUGCAUAAAGCCGCGGCGUUACAAACAAAGCGUUUGCCAAGUAUUUCCUGCGAUUACGUUAUCUAUCGUUCUACACGGAGUUUUACGCAGAAUUACGAAAUUAUUAAAAAUACAAUUGUUACAUUUCCACGAAAACUCGAGAAGAGUCGAGAAGAUUGAAGAACAGAAACCGUGGGCUAUAAAGAUGUAAGAUGAUUAUGCUUGCUUGAUGUUGUUUGAUCGGCUGUCGUCAUUGCUAAAAAAUGACGAAAAUGAGAAUGUCAAGUGGAACGAUGUAGAAAGAGAGUGAACAGCAGGAUAAAGUUACGCGUCGUAUUUAUAAGACGCGCUUGCAAGAAUAGAAGAUCGAAUUUGAAUACAGUCACUAUCGACUUUGUUUCGAACGAACGACGAUUGAACGACCGAUGCAACGAUCGAUGCAACGAUCGAUGCAAUCCUGGCUUUCACGAGAUCAUUAAUUAUAUCAAAUAACGAUUAUUUCAUUAUAAAUGGGUCGGAAACAUUAUCUUAGAGGAUAGAUAAAUAGAUUUGCUGCAGAUCCAAUAAUAACCAUAAGCUGUAUGCAUCUAACAGUAACAGUAGACAUGAAAGAAGAACUCACGCGGGUGACGACGAUCGGUGUACCCAAAUCAGCGCCUCCAGCGAUACGUAUUCCCCAAGGUUUGCCGGUGCUGGAUCUCUUAAGCUUCACGAUCACCGUUUGUUUCCUCGUCAUGCUCUACUCUGUCUAUCAGAAGAACGCAAUCGCGUGUUUAUAACGAACGGAAAUCGCAGAGACCGAUCGCUAAUUCGAGUAUUAAGAGCAAGA